rnacentral:tRNA from 1 species
UCCCUAGUAGCUCAAUUGAUAUAGAAUCUGCCUGCAAUGCAGGAGACCUGGGUUCGAUCCCCGGGUUGGGAA